rnacentral:rRNA from 1 species
UACGGGGGGGGCAAGCGUUGUUCGGAAUUACUGGGCGUAAAGGGCUCGUAGGCGGCCAACUAAGUCAGACGUGAAAUCCCCAGGCUUAACCUGGGAACUGCGUCGGAUACUGGAUGGCUUGAAUCCGGGAGAGGGAUGCAGAAUUCCAGGUGUAGCGGUGAAAUGCGUAGAUAUCUGGAGGAAUACCGGUGGCGAAGGCGGCAUCCUGGACCGGCAUUGACGCUGAAGCGCGAAAGCUAGGGGAGCAAACGGG